GACGAACGCUGGCGGCGUGCUUAACACAUGCAAGUCGAACGGAAAGGCCUCUUUCGGGGGGUACUCGAGUGGGGAACGGGUGAGUAACACACGAGUAUCCCGCCCUUUACUUUGUGAUAACUUCAGGAAACAGGGGCUCAUACCCGAUAUAGGCUCCUGCGGCAUGGGGGGGGGUGGAAAGUUUCGGGGGUUGGGGAUUGACUCGCGGCUUAUCAGCUUGUUGGUGGGGUAGUGGCUUACCAAGGCUUUGAGGGGUAGCCGGCCUGAGAGGGUGACCGGCCACAUUGGGACUGAGAUACGGCCCAGACUCCUACGGGAGGCAGCAGUGGGGAAUAUUGCACAAUGGGCGGAAGCCUGAUGCAGCAACGCCGCGUGCGGGAUGACGGCCUUCGGGUUGUAAACCGCUUUCGCCUGUGACGAAGCGUGAGUGACGGUAAUGGGUAAAGAAGCACCGGCUAACUACGUG
rnacentral:rRNA from 1 species